CGCGGAUGAUGAACAGGGUCUCCCCCACCGGGUCCAGCUCCCGCACCACGCACGUGCCCUUCGUGUACAGCGCCGGCCGCAGCCGCUCGCAGAUCGCCUCUAGCGUCUGCUCGUCCAUCUCGUCGAACAGCGGCACCUGGGGUAAAAAUCCCAUCUCUUAGCAGAUAAAACCAAAUGGUGCUAUGAUUGUAUUGUAUCUUUAACUCUAUGUUCAUUACAUGGCAUUUGGUUCAGUAAAAAUCGCAUUUUGUUAGGAUGAAAUAAAUGGUGUUAUAGUGGUGUUACAAUUUUGACUGUUUUGCGUUCAUUACACGGCAUUUGGUUCAGUAAAAAUCACAUUUUCUUAUUAGAUAAAAGAUGGUGUUAUGAUGUUGACUAUAUGUUCAUUACAUGAGAUUUAGUCGUGCACGAUUAUUAUCUUCUUAUUAGAUUGUGAAUCUUCUGCUCUAGUAGCCCUUUUGAUUUGAUAGAAUAUGGUGCUGUUAUUUGUCUAUGUUUAAAUUUCAAAACUUUAGGCGGAAACCGUAGCAUUUAGUGAAGUGGUUUAUCGACUUAUAAUCGCAGAUUGUUGAUGAGUCUGAUGAAAUUUUAACUUCGGACUGUGGCUCCUGCAAAUGGUGCUGUUUGAGCGAAGCUAUUUAGUGAAUUAAUAAAUUUUAAUUAAAUAUACCGACAAAUCUUUAUGGCGUCUAGGAUGUUGAAAAUCAAGCUUUUAUUACAGAAAAAUGGUGUUCUUAUUUCAUCUAUGCUCGGUACAUGAUAUUUAGUUUAGGUGAUUAUCAUCUUCUUAUUAGAUUGUGAAUCUUCUGCUCUAUUGGAACCUGUUUGACCCGAUUGGAGCUUUUGUAGGAUUGUUGAUUCGAAUAGAUAUAUUCGAAGAAUUACUAAAGUUACCAUCAAAAUAUAGCACUAGAUUUUACAAUAGAAUAAGCAAAAGAUUCUGAAUUUCUACUAUUGAGGUUUAGAAGUUUAUUUUAGCUUGUCGCUGUGGCUUUACCUUUUGAUUGUUAAACAUCUAGCCUUCACUUAUUUAAGUAAAAAGCUAUUCUAAAAGCUAGAUGAAAGAGUAGUUCUACCAUGUGAAUCAAUUAAACUAUCCAAACCAAGCUAUGAUGCUUUUGGAAGCAUGAGAGGUUGGUGCUGUUCCCAUAUUUCUGUAAUUAACGUGCUCAACAACAAGACAAAAUCAUUCAUCAAAGAGAUUUGAGAAGAAUGGGUUAGUGCUUACACUUCGGACUAGAUCAAGGCAUAGAUGGCGCUUGAUAUCUCUUCUGAGGUCCAAGGGUAGGCAUUUGAGUAGGGCUUCUUCGUCGACCCCUUGUGUGGCGACCCAUUUGUACUGAUAAUACCUUCUCACACAUUGCUUCAGCUCCAGUGGGAGCUGCCUAUGAUGCAUCCACUGCUCCAUGUCUGUCCUCUUUAUCCUCCAUUCUUCUAGCCGGACUAUUGUUGAUUGGAGAUAAGACUGCAAAGCAUUUUAAGUGUCCAAACACAAACUAAAUGCACUUAGAUCUCUUCAUUUUCAUUAUGUUUCUUAUGUUCUUGGUGACUCUGUAAUUCCUCUCCUUCUAUUACUUGUUCAAAACUUUUGUAUGUAGAUUAAGGAGAAGACUGCUUUCUUAAUCUUGUGUCAUUUACGUUAAUUGUGUCAAACUUAACUCCCUCAGUUUCCUCUGACUAAUAUUGUUAUACACAUGAUAAGUCAACGACAACUUAUUCUAGGUUAUUUGGUUUUUCUACAUUGUGAAGUUGAUGCACUUACUUGCAUGUUUCCAAUCAGCAAGCCAAACAGCACCAAUCCAAGAAUUGCAAUGAUUAUUGCGAAGCUUAUUUCUCCUAUGUCAAUACUUGUUGACAGAUUCUGACCCAAACAACUGCAAAGUUUGAAAACAAAUAUAAUCACUUCGAAUUUAAGUAUGAUUUUGGUUCAAGAAAGCAAGAUGUCUAAUCGAUCUCGGUUGAAGAUGAACUUUUGAUACUUACCUCAAGUUCUUCAAUCCCCACCAAAAGCAGUAGAAGUACUUUUGGAGGAAUGGAGAUGAUGUUACAUUAAAGUUCAACGCCUCCUUGUAAAUCCCAAACUGGUAGAAGUCACUACUUGGGUUGCAUAAAUUUGGUAGGUUGCUUGAUCGGUACCAAAUAUUCCUUGAACUGUCAAUUCUUUCACAGUCGAAGUACCAAUAUUGGCAGGAGGGGCUAUGAAGACGGCAUGCCUCUCGCCAGCACUCUUCCUGACGCUCGAUUGAUAGGAGAUACCAUACUGCUCCUAGUACCUAUUCAAUGUUAAGAGAAAGUAAGGAGGUGUUAAAACUAGAUUUGUUACUCUGUAUUUUUCGUGUUUGUUUGAAAAACCUACCUGAAUGUAUUGCUUAUUACCAGGAGCAUAUAUAUUAAGUCUUUUAAUUAGGUAGCUGUACAUGAAGAUGCAACUUAAGUAAAGAGAAAAGAAUGAUAAGUGGAACACGAUUGAAAUCAAGUAUAGCACAUUUCGUCUUUUUUUUUUUCCCCGCUGAGAACAACCAUCCAAACUCGGAGCAAAUUUUAUCUUCAUUAAUGGAUUGAUGAAGAUGUUGCAGGAAAAAAGAAGAAUCUUUAUGAUUCGGAAUAUAAUCAAUAAACAUUAAACAAAUAGCUGGUUUGCAACUUACAUGGCUUGCAAGCAUGUAUAGGAUGAGGUUGUAUGCAGCUCCUGCCCAUGCAGUUUCUGUCAUGACCCCAGUAGUCAUUAUGAUUUGCUGCGUUAGUGGGAAGAUCAGAAAGAGCCUUGGGAGGUAUUGGGAGAUGACGCCAAAGCGAAUAAGGUUCUUAUAGCUGGUCAUUGUCGAUCCUUUUAGGUUAGGAACUACAAUCCAUAUUAGAAACUGCAGCGAAAAUGAAAUUUGUAUUAAAACCUCUGAUAUUGCAUCACAUGCAACAGGUAAAGGAAAAUUCAACAAUAAAGUUAUGAAAUAGGCUCUGCUAAUAUGAGUAGCUCAAAAAUCAAAAUCAGGGUGUUAGCAACAAUGAGCUCAACAGGAUAUGCAUAUAAUGUUUAUGCAUGAUGUUUGUCUGUGCUUGUGUUUUUGACGUGUCUACAUACUUGUUGUAUGCUAUUUAUGAUCUUUCUUAUAGUAGGUUUCACAUGAUUCUUCAGAGAUUUAAGAGGAUAUGUCACUUCAAAAAUGAAAAAUGAAGAAAUUAAAAACGUGAGUUUGAUACAGAGAGGGAAACAAGGCUAGCAUUUUACCUGUGGCAGAGGCAAUGCAGCAAUUAGAUCAAGCCAAAAGCUCUUGGAUAAGUACCUUCUAGCAAUCUUUGAUGGAUCAAUAACAAGCUCACCUCUCCCAAAUACGCGAGAGGAUGGAGCAACAAAUGCUGUUCGAAAACGAACAUAUAUCUGGAGUGCAUAGAAAACAUCUGCAAUUGACCGUACUACAGUGAGAGCUAUCAUAAGCGCAGUGUUGAUCUCAAUACAAUUCAUUUUUUGAAUCCCAG
rnacentral:lncRNA from 1 species